rnacentral:rRNA from 1 species
UGCAAGUCGAACGCUUCUUUCCUCCCGAGUGCUUGCACUCAAUUGGAAAGAGGAGUGGCGGACGGGUGAGUAACACGUGGGUAACCUACCCAUCAGAGGGGGAUAACACUUGGAAACAGGUGCUAAUACCGCAUAACAGUUUAUGCCGCAUGGCAUAAGAGUGAAAGGCGCUUUCGGGUGUCGCUGAUGGAUGGACCCGCGGUGCAUUAGCUAGUUGGUGAGGUAACGGCUCACCAAGGCCACGAUGCAUAGCCGACCUGAGAGGGUGAUCGGCCACACUGGGACUGAGACACGGCCCAGACUCCUACGGGAGGCAGCAGUAGGGAAUCUUCGGCAAUGGACGAAAGUCUGACCGAGCAACGCCGCGUGAGUGAAGAAGGUUUUCGGAUCGUAAAACUCUGUUGUUAGAGAAGAACAAGGACGUUAGUAACUGAACGUCCCCUGACGGUAUCUAACCAGAAAGCCACGGCUAACUACGUGC